CAAAGUUACUUGGUGAUGAGUUGAGUUUUGAGAUUCCAGAAACAACCUGCGAACUGCGAAGUGAUUAAGGUUUGGCUGGGCAUGGAAUCAUCUUCAUCCGUGUCUAAUAAGACCAUAACUUUAGAAGAAUGGAACGGUUCAUCACCCACAAAGCUCUCUAAGACUUUUACCAUCAAGGCUUCUUCUUCCUCUGUAACCAUUACAAGAUCUGGUGCCCGAUUUAGCCAUGUUUGGAGACGCUUACUUCAAGCUUUUGUCCCUGAGGGUUUUCCAAGCAGUGUGACUGCAGAUUAUGUUCCUUUUCAAAUAUGGGACUCAUUGCAGGGCCUUUCAACGUAUAUAAGGACCAUGCUUUCUACCCAGGCUCUCCUGAGUGCUAUUGGGGUUGGUGAAAAAUCAGCUACUGUCAUUGGUGCUACUUUUCAGUGGUUUUUGAGGGAUCUAACAGGUAUGCUUGGAGGAAUCUUGUUCACUUUUUACCAGGGAUCAAAUCUUGAUAGCAAUGCAAAAAUGUGGCGUUUGGUUGCAGAUUUUAUGAAUGACCUUGGAAUGUUAAUGGACCUCAUUUCUCCUCUGUUUCCAUCAGCUUUUGUGUUUGUUGUUUGCUUGGGAAGCAUCUCAAGAUCUUUCACUGGUGUUGCUAGUGGAGCCACUAGAGCAGCUUUAACUCAGCAUUUUGCUCUUCAGGAUAAUGCUGCUGAUAUAUCUGCUAAGGAAGGAAGUCAAGAAACUGUGGCCACAAUGAUUGGCAUGGCGAUGGGAAUGCUUCUUGCUCGCAUCACCAUUGGAUCCCCACUGGCCAUAUGGUUUUCAUUUUUAUCUUUGACAGUGUUUCACAUGUAUGCAAAUUACCGAGCUGUUCGAUGCCUGGCAUUGAAUUCAAUAAACCUUGAAAGAAGCUCUAUUCUCUUGCAUCAUUUCAUGGAGACUGGCCAAGUUCUCUCCCCUGAACAGGUCUCUUCACAGGAGCAUGUUUUACCCAUACGGUUCAUUUCAUCAAGUUCAAGGAAUUCUAAUUAUAUGCAUAAGAAAGUACGUUUAGGCAUGAGGAUUUCUUCAUUCGAUAACAUGGAAAUUAAGGAGCAUUUGCUUUCUGCGGCAUCUUACUACACAAAAGCCAAGUAUAUACUUGUGGAAAGGAAGGGAAUCAUUGAUGUUAUUGUGCAUAAAGAUUCAAAUGCUGCUGAUGUCCUAAAGUCAUUCUUUCAUGCUCUGGUCUUGGCAAAGAAUGCUCAUAAAAGCAAAUCCUUGCAUUCAGAUGGCCAAAAGUGGGUUGAUAAUCAAUAUGAAGUAUUUAUUACCAAGCUCAAGUCAUUAGGUUGGAAAACAGAACGGCUUCUAGCACCUAUAAUAUGGAGGGCGUACUGGAGCUAUGAACCAUUGGGAGAAAAAAUUGAUUAGGGUCAUCAACAUUGUCCAUAUACAUUAGCUGUGGCUCUGGAAUGAUUCAGAUUAUUUUAUUAGGAGAUUGAAUAUACGGCCCUUGCCCUUGUUCCAAAAUGAAAUGAUUAUUUAUGUUUGACAAAGUUGGUGAUGAACUUUGUUCAAAUUUAUGAUUUCACCAGAGUUCUGUCAAGGCUUUUCUUGCACUUGCACCUCAUUUAUCUCCUGCACUAGUGCCAGUUUUAAGUUUAGAAAGAAAAUAUGGCGGCUUUCACAGUUUAAGCCCAUGUUUGACCAAAGAUUAUUUUUCUUGAGUUUUUGGAUGAGCUCUUUGCUGAAGCUAAAAGGUGAGUUUACUUUAGAGCGUUUUUCUCAUUUUCAAGUUAAAACUGGAAGCCCUAAUGGGGAAAGUAGAUUGCAUGGUGUUUUACCCUCGUAAAAUGGGGAGAAUGAGACCUGGAAGGACAAUGGAGAAAUUUUUAUGAGUGAUCUCAUGUUGAAAAAUAUUCCUAAUGAUUUUGGCUUUAAGUCCAAUGGUUUUUGUGUGAUCCAUAUAGCCAACUUCAUCUAGAGGUAAUUAUUUCUUUAAGUGAUGUGUUCAGGUUUUUGUGUGAUCCAUAUAGCCAACUUCAUCUAGAGGUAAUUAUUUCUUUAAGUGAUGUGUUCAGAUUCUUGUUAGGGUAGUUGUGAUGUGAAGGAUUUCUUUUCUUGUACAUCAAGCACUUCGCCACCCCUGCUAUGCCCUGAGCAACCAUUCCACGUCUCAACUUUCUGCUAACACCGAACCAAUCUCUCUAUGAACUCCCUACGGUGUGAGGUACUCACAGAAUUACUGUAGACUGAAUGUAUUCUCAUUGACACCCUUUACUCAAGGUUAUCUUUUCUGUUAAAAGAGUUAUCACUUAAAUAUCACGAUUACCAUAUUCUCCAUCAGGGGAUCCUCGUCUUUGUUUCUUAUGAAGAUUAUCUUCCCACCCCUUAUGAUUUCCAUGUUGAGCAUUAUUACCUGAAGAGAAUUCUUCAUUUAUGACAUGAGUAUCUGCACCUAUCUAGUCUGGAUAUGGACACGCAUGCAACCAGUGGCGGAUUUUAUCUACAAAUUUUGGAGGGACCAAAAUAAUAUAAUUCUUUAAUCAUUAAAUUGUUGUAUCAUUAGUUUGUUGUAUCAUUAGUAUAAUGUUUUAAAGA